ACCGCGGGUUGCGGGAGACCAUUCGACGCAGGGACUUCGAUCCCCCUUAGUACAUACGAGCCGAGAAAGCAGACUUCCUGUGAUAAAAAUGCUGAUACAUAAAAAUGUUAUCUCGCAGGUCCAGCCGGCACUGUAAAAAGUGCGAUUCUCGGCGGUCAGCGUGGCUUGCUUCUAUAAUUUCAGCCUCAGCUCCGCGUUCCAUUCCGUCUAACUACGACGCAAAACGACUGAUCGUGGGUCCUCAGUCUGUGGCUAUAGUUCACCAUCGUGGAAGGUGAUGCUAUACUUAUUCUUAGAUUCUCUCGAGUUUCCCAAAUCCCUAAGUUUGUGUGUCUUCGCUCUUCGAGAGGUGAAAGUGAAAAGUUCGCGGCUGUAGUGAAAAUGGGCACACUAACGGAUGACGUGAAACGUGAGGUGUUCGUGAAGCUGAACGAAGUCUUCAGGGAUGACGUGGACACCCUGGCUCGCGUACUCUAUUACCUGGAUCAAGAGGAGGAUACUUACCGGCACGCUGAGAGGGUGCCCCCCUUCUGGCGAACCUUGACCAAUGCGCUAGUGUCGGACAACUUGUUCGCGACAUACGCUCGCCGGCUCGCCGAAGACACUCGCGGCGAGCAGGAGAACGAGAAUUUCAUAAGAUACAUUCGACGCCUCGGGCAAAUUUACGAUCGACACUUGACAGCCUCAGAAGGAGAGGCUGACAUCAGCGACGUGCAAAGCUUGGAUGUCCGACUACUGGCUGACAUCGAGCUAGCGCAGAGGGAGGGCGCGGUCAGCUUCGCUCGCACCUGGGCGUUCAUGACUCCGGAGAGCCAAGCGGAGGUGCUCAAAUUCGCCAGGUUAUUAUGUGUGGACACGAGAAUGGCUGUUUGGGGAGACGGUGUGGUUGGCGUCCUCAGCAGGGUACGCGGUAAUGUGGUGCUGGUCGGGCUGGCCAUCGCUAGCAUCGCCUACGACGUCCUCCGCAAUAUGAAAAGAUGGUGGCAUGGUGAGAUAAGUGGGAAAAGGUGCUGCAAGAAUAUCGUAGACUCCGUGGUAAGUUUGGUCGGUUGUCUGGGCGGCGGGCUGGCCGGGACGGUCAUUGGUACUGUGGUUGCCGGUCCGCUCGGCGCUUUGGCCGGUGGCGUAGCCGGGGCUGCGGUUGCCGGACGAGUCACCAAUGCGCUAUCAGACCGCUUGACCCAGUGGAUCUUCGGGCUCCCGAAAACUGAGGCGUUGGAAAAUGCCUUCAACUUCUUUGGGCUCCCAGCUACCGCGUCCAAUCACGAAAUCAACACGGCCUAUCGGCGACUUUGCCUCAUACAUCAUCCUGACAAAGGUGGCAAUGAGGAGGAAUUUCAUGUUGUUCAGGUCAAUAUGGCGGUUAUAGCCGCGUCGAGAGACGAGAUUUGAUGGAACUAUUGUGAAGUGAUUAAAACAUACCUCAUAUACCGAUUAAAAGUCUGGUUACUAUUUUAAAGACUGAUAUUUUGUCCGUUGUUUUUGUAACGUAGCCGAUUAAACAAACUGUUCCAAUAACACCGAAUUCAUGAUGCGAUUAAUUAUCAUGUCACUCAACUGAAUAUGGUUGUUAUAGCACAGCUGCUUCAAAUGACUAUAUUAUUCCAAAAUAGUCGUGUUAUCUACAGUUUAAGAAUAAUUAUAGUCUUUUUCAUGCUUGUAUUUCCUCGACUGGUUAAUAUUUUUUAAUAAAUCUUUAAAUUUGUAAUUCAUUGAAAUUUGUCAAUUCUGUCCCCUACCUGAUGCACUAACAAUAAGUAAUUCAUUAUUGCUGAUUUUCAUAAGCGUGCAAAUCAAUAUGGCCGUUCAAAUGCAUAUAAUCAUUCUACUAAUAUAUUUACUCGUCUAAGCACGUUCGAAGAAAUAGAUCAAUAAAUUGACGAUACUCCUUAGAAAGCUUUUAAACAAUAUAGAAGAGUUUAGGAAAUUUCCAAAAGUUUGAACCGAUUCUAAAACAAAUCUUGUAAACCUGGUAUGCAAAUUGCUUAGGUAGAAUUAUCAUGCACGUUAGGCUAGAUUAGUUGAAGGCAUUUUCCAACGCCUCAAUUGGUCUUUCAUUACAGCUUGAUUAAACCAGUAUGUCCCAAUUGUUCACAUUCUCCUAUUCAAAACAUUGAGCUACGGAUACAAAAUCUGAAUUCAGCAAAUAAAUAACAAGAAAAAAAUAAAAAAACAUCAAUUUUCCAGCAACUUUGUAAGCCCAGGCGCCUCUGGGGACUUAAAUCCGGUUUUUAUUUCCAGGACCUCCAUUCACCACUUUCUUUAUACUCUUACUUUCUCUUAUUCUUCGUUCAUUGAAUUUCCCGCAUUUCUUCUCUCAUCUUAUACUUAUUUUACUGUAUCUGGCAGAGGGGCGCGUCUUCGAUGCGUCAGGGGGGCGUAUCUGCUAAUGGUAACUUGGCCUUAUAGCCAGUCCGACUGUGCCAGGUAGUAUUCAUUUGCAUUUUUCUGUACUGAAUUCUCGUUAAUCACCGUGUUUCACAAAAAUGUUACCGUUUUUUCAUUGCAAGAUUGUUAUUCCGAAGGAAAUGUGUGCUAGAAAUUUUUUACAAAAAGAACACUGACUUUCGAAAGAAAGUGAUGUUCCGGAAAAAACCGUAAUUUCACGGUACAGUAGACACUCGAUCAUCCAAUACAAUUUGUAUGUCUGAUAACAAAAAUGUCGCCUAAUCGAAAUCAUCACAACAAUGAUUCAAAAUUGCCGUUUCGGGCUCUGCUUGCAACGAGAGAGCGCAAGCUUGGCAAAUUUUCUAUCGUAUUCUUAAAAUAAAGUCAGAUAAUUUUUUGCCCUAAAACGUGGGCUCCGUCGUGUCGCGUCCAAAAACGUCACGUUCUAGUAUUUUUUUUUUUUUUUUUUUGCAGGUUUAAUGACUUAUACCUCUCUUCUCAGAGGUCUACAGUCAACUACAGACAGAGAUUUAAUGUCCUUAGACAAAAGGGCGAUAGAGACAUCCAUGCUCCGGCUUUCAAAUUUUCAGGGAUUAAGGCCGAGUAGAAUCUGUUUCUGCAGAUCCACACGUCAGUUCCGUGAAAAUUUGUCGCCACCACCGGGAUUCGAACCCGGGACCAAUUGGACUAGAGUCAGACGCGCUGACCGCAUGGCUAACCUGGCCGGCCCGUUCUAGUAUUGAGGAAAUCGUGUCGGAUGAAAUUGGUGUUGCACUAUCGAUUGUCGGGUCAUCGAGAUUCUUUUGUACAUCGACCUUUUUUUAAAAAAAUCGCUUCCUUUUCUUAACUUUUUUUCUCAAUGAGAGAGCCAUGCGAUAGUGUGAGUUAAGUCAUUAACAAGUAGGUAAAUCCAACACGUGGUGUUUGGAAGAGCGCGCCUAAAGGAUAUCCCUAUUACCAUAUUCAGUUUUAAGCUUGUUCCUGGCUACCAAACGAAUCAUAAUCGCCCUAAAAUCUUGAGGUUUUCUUCAUUAAGACCUCACUCUUUUAAUAAGUAAUUCUAGGCUCUUUCGUGAUCCAAAUUGCCUACCUCUCUUGUACGUGGACUAGGUUUUAUUGAAUGUUUACUUAUGCUUUUAUAAACAGAAUGGUAUGAUAAUAUUGCAUUUUAUUUAAAAAAAUAACAAUUAUAUUGCAUUCAAUUACAAUGUACACUGAGAAAUAACUUCGGUCAUUUGAACCGAAUGUACGGUACGGCGUUCAAUGUCGCCAUAUUGUUCAGUUCAUGCGACCGCUUUCUCGGUUCUGGGUAUCGUAUCCUCAAUUGGACGUAUUUCUAUCAAACAGAACUAUGUGCAUUAAGACAUGAGCCCUGAGACCCAUAAGAAUAUAUACAUAGCAGGGCUCAUGUCAUAUUGCACAUAGUUCCGUUCGACAGAAAUACGUCCAAUCCAUGCAACCGAGCUUCCUCGUUAGUUCUGUUCAAUACGUUAGUUCAAUCCCCGGUCGCAUGAACCGAGGAUACGGUUCCCAGAAUCAAGAGAGCGGUCGCAUGAACCGAAUGUACCUUGAACCGAACAAUACGGCCGAUAUUGAACACCGUACAUUCGGUUCAUAUGACCAAAGUUUUUUUCUCAGGUCAGCAGGUAUACGUAUAAAUAUAAGUCAAAUGUGACUUUCAACUUUUUAUGAAUUAAAAAAGAAUAAAGGCACUGUAAUUUUACAGUAGCAUGAAACUCGUUGCAAUCUGAAAACUUAUUGUUCACACCGUUUUGGAAAGUGCAUCUUUCUUUUUUACUUUGGAUCGGAAUAUUCCAGUCAAUCUAGCUUUUUACCUCGGACAAAUUAGCACAAUCUUUUCCUUUGGUAUCUAGAGUCUCUAGGUACCCAGUGAAACGGGAAAAAAAGUUUACCAAAUAAUUCCAUCCGGAAAGUGGUCAAAUCGCAGUUUUUGCAGUAUAAUAGCACAUGAAAGUUAAAAAAUAUGCGAAUAAAUACAUUUUUGAAGGUAUUUCAGUAUGCCUAGAAGUCAAGUUUGGAGACGUCAAAAAUUUACGAAUUUUUCAAUAAAAAGACUUCGUCUCGGGUUUGUGUGGUUUUUUGUGGCUGCAUACGAUUUUUUUCAUCAAACCAUGAUAAACAUUCGAAAGCUGGUAAAAUUUUAUGUGAGAAAUGUAAGUACCUUUAUUUGUCUUUUUGGUGUCGCUCGUGAAAAUGCGGAGGUGUAAUCCAAGACCCCCUCAGUUUUUUAUCGUCAUUUUAAAAGUAAAAAGUAAAUUAUACCAUACCACAAUCAAAUAAAAUAAAAUAUUAAGGCACCACUCGUAUGUAUAUGAUAUAAAAUAUGGCUGGACAUCUCUUAAGGGUGAGCCACCUGACUUGGAAACUGGGGGUCGAAGAUGGGAGAUGACCAAGAGACGGAUAAGAUCCAACCUUUUAUCCAAAAUAUGACGUCACUAAGGAGUGUGGUGGGUGAACACGCAUCAAAGGAAAUAUCAGGCGGUAAUGCUUUCUCUUCACGGAUAUGAGAUAAAGGGGCGAGAUAAAUUCCGAAAAUGAACAAGAGACUGAAUUUUGUCUAGGUUCUCAAUGAAACGAGAAAUGUAAAGAAUGCAUUUCAUCUAAUCAAAGAUUGCAAGCUGGCAACACUGUUCCCUCCAUUGAAAUGUACGCAUAACAAUCGAUUCUUGAGGUGGCCUCACCUGGAAUCGAUACUUUCAAUGGAUUUAAAUGGAGGGAAUACAGUGUUGCCAGCUUGCAAAAUCGCCCUCUGGAUUCCCGUUCGAUUCGGCAACUGUGGCGCGAGUAAGAGCGUAGCGUCGCGUCGCGAACAAUCAGCGGCUCGCAAACGGAGCCAGCACGGGCAAUUAAGUGCAUUCAUACAUUCGUUCUUAUUUUAAAACGCCCGGCCCGAAAUAAACCGCACGCUUUAUUUUCACUUGAGGCAGAUGAGGCGAAUGAGUCGCACGUUCGACAAUUACUCUGCCGCGCUAGGUAGAAAAACGCCGUAUGAGCCUUGCGGCGUUGCCAAAUCCUGCGACAAAUUAAGAAUGGAGAUGUUGCAUGUGUGAGGAAUUUGCGAUUUGACUGUUGAUUCUCAUGUAAAAGUUUGCAAGAAACACGAUGGUGCUUCUGGUUUUCUCUGAAAUCAACUCCCAAGCUCAAAGAAAGCUCUCGAGUUGAGGCCAAAAUGGAGGGGAUAUCCCACGCUAUCCUGAGAGUCCAUCUCUACAUCAAGACAAACUCUCCAUGCAAAUAUAGGGAGCAAAUACAUUGACAGGGUUGCCACUUUAUUUGGGGACUUUAAAACUGAGAACACGGCAACCCUGCUAAUGUAUUUGCUCCCUAUCUUUGCAUGGAGAAUUGUCUUGAUGUAGACGUGGACUCUCAGGAUAGCGUGGGAUAUCCCCUCCAUUUUGCCCUCAACUUGAGAGCUUUUUUUGAACUUGGGAGUUGAUUUCAGAGAAAACCAGUGGCACCGUCGUGUUUCUCGCCAACUUGUACAUACGAAUCAAUUGUCAAAUCACAAAUCCCUCACACAUGUAACAUCCCCAUUAUCAGGACGAUUUUUUCAGGGAUAUUUCUUUUCCGAUAUAUUUCAGAAGAUUUCGUUCGAAAUUUGGUCUAAAAUUUUGGGAAAAUAUGCAUAGCUUUCUUCAAAAAUAAAUAUUUCCUUAGAGGAAAUUUGGCAACAUUCGAAUAAUCAUGCGGCAUUUUUACUUAACGUGGCAACGCUGCAAACCGAGCAGAUUCGAUUUUCUGACGUGCGAUCGUGCAUGUAUUACCGCGGCGGCGCGGCUGUAACUGCGCGUCACGCUCAAAAAUAACGCCCCGCUAGGGCCCAUAACGCGCUAUCGACGCGUUAACUUUACAUAGAGUGACAAGUUCAUGAAAAUUUAUGGAAAGCAUAGAAGAAUCAGUGAGUUUUGUAACCCUACUAAACAUGAGUGUAAUGCCAG
rnacentral:lncRNA from 1 species